GGGACACGUGGUAUCCUGUCUGAAUAUGGGGGGACCAUCCUCCAAGGCUAAAUACUCCUGACUGACCGAUAGUGAACCAGUACCGUGAGGGAAAGGCGAAAAGAACCCCGGCGAGGGGAGUGAAAAAGAACCUGAAACCGUGUACGUACAAGCAGUGGGAGCACGCUUAGGCGUGUGACUGCGUACCUUUUGUAUAAUGGGUCAGCGACUUAUAUUCUGUAGCAAGGUUAACCGAAUAGGGGAGCCGAAGGGAAACCGAGUCUUAACUGGGCGUUAAGUUGCAGGGUAUAGACCCGAAACCCGGUGAUCUAGCCAUGGGCAGGUUGAAGGUUGGGUAACACUAACUGGAGGACCGAACCGACUAAUGUUGAAAAAUUAGCGGAUGACUUGUGGCUGGGGGUGAAAGGCCAAUCAAACCGGGAGAUAGCUGGUUCUCCCCGAAAGCUAUUUAGGUAGCGCCUCGUGAAUUCAUCUCCGGGGGUAGAGCACUGUUUCGGCAAGGGGGUCAUCCCGACUUACCAACCCGAUGCAAACUGCGAAUACCGGAGAAUGUUAUCACGGGAGACACACGGCGGGUGCUAACGUCCGUCGUGAAGAGGGAAACAACCCAGACCGCCAGCUAAGGUCCCAAAGUCAUGGUUAAGUGGGAAACGAUGUGGGAAGGCCCAGACAGCCAGGAUGUUGGCUUAGAAGCAGCCAUCAUUUAAAGAAAGCGUAAUAGCUCACUGGUCGAGUCGGCCUGCGCGGAAGAUGUAACGGGGCUAAACCAUGCACCGAAGCUGCGGCAGCGACGCUUAUGCGUUGUUGGGUAGGGGAGCGUUCUGUAAGCCUGCGAAGGUGUGCUGUGAGGCAUGCUGGAGGUAUCAGAAGUGCGAAUGCUGACAUAAGUAACGAUAAAGCGGGUGAAAAGCCCGCUCGCCGGAAGACCAAGGGUUCCUGUCCAACGUUAAUCGGGGCAGGGUGAGUCGACCCCUAAGGCGAGGCCGAAAGGCGUAGUCGAUGGGAAACAGGUUAAUAUUCCUGUACUUGGUGUUACUGCGAAGGGGGGACGGAGAAGGCUAUGUUGGCCGGGCGACGGUUGUCCCGGUUUAAGCGUGUAGGCUGGUUUUCCAGGCAAAUCCGGAAAACUAAGGCUGAGGCGUGAUGACGAGGCACUACGGUGCUGAAGCAACAAAUGCCCUGCUUCCAGGAAAAGCCUCUAAGCAUCAGGUAACAUCAAAUCGUACCCCAAACCGACACAGGUGGUCAGGUAGAGAAUACCAAGGCGCUUGAGAGAACUCGGGUGAAGGAACUAGGCAAAAUGGUGCCGUAACUUCGGGAGAAGGCACGCUGAUAUGUAGGUGAAGUCCCUCGCGGAU
rnacentral:rRNA from 1 species